UACGGAGGAUGCAAGCGUUAUCCGGAAUGAUUGGGCGUAAAGCGUCCGCAGGUGGCGAUGUAAGUCUGCUGUUAAAGAGUCUAGCUCAACUAGAUAAGAGCAGUGGAAACUACAUAGCUAGAGUACGUUCGGGGCAGAGGGAAUUCCUGGUGUAGCGGUGAAAUGCGUAGAGAUCAGGAAGAACACCGGUGGCGAAGGCGGCAUCCUGGACCGAGAUUGACGCUGAGGCGCGAAAGCCAGGGGAGCAAACGGG
rnacentral:rRNA from 1 species